AUAAAAGCAGGAAACAGAUACCGAUAAAAUAGACAUGAUUUAAUGGAGGGAAACAAAAGUACUAGAAAUUGAUCGCAAUUAGGUCAAGUAUAAGCAUAAGUCAGGAUGGACGUGACGCGAGUGCAAUUCAUUAUGUGCGGUUAUGUAAAAGAAAAAGCGUGAUGAAGAGAGAAAAAGAGAGUGGGAGAGAGCAUACACAGCUAGAACUGAAAAUAGACGGUCUUCCGAUCAAAUAAAAGGAAUUGAGCGGCGUCUAAAAACUGCCGAAGGGCACAUACACACGCGGGAUCAAGAAAUCCAGCUGUCAGACUAUAAAUUGUUCCAUAGUUUACUUUGUAUUCAGCAAAUUUAUUUGGACAUUUUUCCUGAGUCAGUCAGAUCGGUUUAUAUUCGCGACGUGAUCCUUGCCGAUGAAUACGUCCUCUUCAGAUUUCCACCCGUUCGCGAAUGGUCGAAUGUACAUUCCGGCGCGAUGGGGGCUUCUUUUGACUAACAGUAAAUGUAGUUACCAAAGUUGUCAAGUUACCAAAACCCAGAAUUAAAAAAUUCUUUAAUUCAAAAGUUUGUCAAUCAAAAUCUAGCAAGUAGUGUUGCCUUUUUCCAGCUACAUUUUCUUGAAAGAAGCCUACUACGCCCGCUGGUGCACUUUGCUUUACUCAAAUCGUUAAUCAUGCUUUUUCUAAUCGCGUCAUUUUUUUUUUAAUAGUUACGUUGACAUAUAUUUUUACAUUAAUCUUUUUUAACCUCAUUCUCAAGAUCAGAGUUAUUUCAAUAUAGAAUGAAUUGAUACUAUGCUGAAUGCUUCUUGUAAUCAAUCGCCUCAUUACCAGAGUGAUGAUUGAAUGGAGAUUUAUCUUCCAUUUGAACUUGACAUGAAAUGCCUCGCAGAUUCGGUUCUCCAUCUCUCUCUUCACUUAAACUAAUCUCCGGUUAACAAAUUUGGCAGGAGGCGAAUGUUAGGUUUAUGAGAAGUUAAUUUAGACCUGCUCAUAAAUUUGCCUCUUAUAUGUUAUGUCUUGAUGAAGUAAAACGACUGUAUUCAGCUUGGCCCCGAUUAUUUUCGCGGACCCGAAAAUUGGUCGUUGUAAUUACCGUGUCUGCACCAUUUCAGGACACAUCAUCUUGUCGGACGAAUGGAUAUAGAGAAAAGGCGUACGCGCGUAGCGCGGUUGACCCGUUUAAAAAAGAUCACCCUCGCAUCUGUUGCUGAGCGCAACAGAUCCUACAGUCGGAGAAGGAGGUUGUAUCAGGGAGAAAGAGGAUGAAAUCUACGUCAAUGUGUGCAUGGUGUGUACCUCUCGCAUAUUUCUCCAAGAUCAACGGUUUAAUUCGUCGCUCAUUAAAAAGAUCCGCGGAUACACGUUCACUCGUG